CGAAAGUGCUCCUCUCAUUAUUUUCUGGGUUUUCUUUAGUGUGAGAUAUUGCUCCAAAUUUGGUCUUCGUAGUGCCAGCUCUCUUCAAAUUCUUUCUAGGUUCUUCCUUGCCUGAAAUUUGGAGGUUGUGGAGUUGAGGCGCCUGAACAAGAAGCAGCAGUUUGAAAAGAGGAACCUUGCUUGUAGGCCUGCUUCUUUGGAGUCUCAAUCGGCUUCUCUUGCUAAGGUUUCUGAGUGACAUUGUUGCAAAAAUUAAAGCUAAAGCAUCUUUGCUAAGGCAUUCGUGAAGUGGCUUGAUGAUGAACUUUGCUUUCUUGCAGGUAUAGCUUGAGCUAGAUCCCUUUCUCGAGGUCCAUGGUUUCAAAGGUGGUUUCAAUGUUUUGUACAGUGGAUGAAAAGUCAGAUUGGUGCUAAAAGUAUGCACACUAGAGGAAACAAGAAA